CUGGGGUUGGGGCUGAGAGGUAGCGCACUUGCCUGGCAUGUAUGAGGCACUGGGUUCGAUUCUCAGUACCACAUA
rnacentral:tRNA from 1 species